rnacentral:rRNA from 1 species
GGGGAAUAUUGGACAAUGGGCGAAAGCCUGAUCCAGCAAUGCCGCGUGAGUGAUGAAGGCCUUAGGGUCGUAAAGCUCUUUUACCAGGGAUGAUAAUGACAGUACCUGGAGAAUAAGCUCCGGCUAACUCCGUGCCAGCAGCCGCGGUAAUACGGAGGGAGCUAGCGUUGUUCGGAAUUACUGGGCGUAAAGCGCGCGUAGGCGGUUACCCAAGUCAGAGGUGAAAUCCCGGAGCUCAACUCCGGAACUGCCUUUGAAACUAUGUAACUAGAAUCUUGGAGAGGCGAGUGGAAUUCCGAGUGUAGAGGUGAAAUUCGUAGAUAUUCGGAAGAACACCAGUGGCGAAGGCGACUCGCUGGACAAGUAUUGACGCUGAGGUGCGAAAGCGUGGGGAGCAAAC